rnacentral:rRNA from 1 species
UACGUAGGUGGCAAGCGUUGUCCGGAAUUAUUGGGCGUAAAGCGCGCGCAGGCGGUUCCUUUAAGUCUGAUGUGAAAGCCCCAGCGGCUCAACCGUGGAAGGUCAUUGGAAACUGGAGGACUUGAGUACAGAAGAGGAAAGCGGAAUUCCACGGUGUAGCGGAUCGAAAUGCGUAGAGAUGUGGAGGAACACCAGUGGCGAAGGCGGCGUUUCUGGUCUGUAACUGACGCUGAGGCGCGAAAGCGUGGGGAGCAAACAGG